GACUUUUGAGUUGAUCCUUAGAUGUUUUUGAGUGCCUGAACAUGUCUAAUAAUGAUUAGGAAAGAAUGUAGAAUGAGAUUGAACCUGGAAAGAUUUUAGAAUGAAACUUUGGGAAUCUGACCUGAACUCGCCAUGGCGAGCAGAGGCUCUCGCCUCGCGAGUGACCCAGUUACAGAAUGCUUGUUUAGAAUUUUGCGAUCUUUGUCGCACGAGUCGUUGAGAGUUAAACCUUGGGG
rnacentral:lncRNA from 1 species